AUACGGAGGAUGCAAGCGUUAUCCGGAUUUAUUGGGUUUAAAGGGUGCGCAGGCGGCGCGUUAAGUCAGUGGUGAAAUGUCCGGGCUCAACCUGGGCAGUGCCAUUGAUACUGGCGCGCUAGAGUACGGACGGCGCCGGCGGAAUGUGUCAUGUAGCGGUGAAAUGCUUAGAUAUGCCACAGAACACCGAUCGCGAAGGCAGCUGGCGAGGCCGGUACUGACGCUCAGGCACGAAAGCGUGGGGAUCAAACAGGAUUAGAUACCCUGGUAGUCCACGCAGUAAACGAUGAUGACUUGUUGUCGGCGAUAGACAGCCGGUGACAAAGCGAAAGCGAUAAGUCAUCCACCUGGGGAGUACGAUCGCAAGGUUGAAACUCAAAUGAAUUGACGGGG
rnacentral:rRNA from 1 species